UGCAAUGCAUGUACUAACUAAUACUCCAUAUAUAUUUAGUCAAACAUAUUUCGAACACCAAAAUUUAAAUUGUUGCAUGUGGUGAAACAACAUAGCUCCGUGUCAAAAUGCAAAAAACAAAACUAAUUUCAAACAUCAAACUCCAAUAAUGGGAACAAUCCAAAGUUGCCAAGUGUUCAUCUCUUGAUCAAACAGUGUCACCUUCCAUAAGAUUUACAUUGCAAACCUGGUAGACAAAUAAAAGAAAUCAAUAUCACAAGGGAUCAAUCUUCAGAACAAUUAAAUCUUCAUCAUAAAAAACACUUAAAUCUUGUUCGGCUCUAUGGACCACUGUAGUGAAGCGGCAAAUUAUAGAUAAUACAACAACCGUAUCAUUUUUUCUGAUGGAAAAAGACAAACCUAUUAUUAUCAUCAUCCAAAGUGUUUGCAAUGUCAGAUGGUUAAGGACGAACAACAUUACAACAUUGGCAAGCUGACCUCAGGGUGAUCCAUCUUUUUUCAUGCCCAUAUUGGUCAUUUUCACUACACAGGAAGUAUAUUGGAUUCCUUCCCGCAAAAAAAAGUCUAUUGGAUUCCUGAAGAGCAAACACAACAAUUACUUCAUCUUCAUAGGGCCACUGGGUCCUCAAAUAAUACAACUUAUACCCUGGCAUCUUUUCUUUUAUACUCCCUCCAUCUUAAAAUGUAAGACGUUUUUUAACACUAUAAAACAUCUUACAUUUUGACACAGAGGGAGUAAGGGAGUAUCUCUUAUGCAGCUACGCUACCAGUUCAGUCUAACUAAAUCUGGUCAAUUACACAAUAUGUAAAAAUAUGGCAAAAGAGCACAUACCUUCAGAUAUUUGCCAGCCAGCUUCAGCCACUAACCUCACCAAGACUGCU
rnacentral:lncRNA from 1 species